CUUUUCAAAAUUAUAAUAAAAUGUGUCAUACUAAAACCUUUAAGGAGUGAGUAAGUGGUUUCAUUUUGUUUCAGGGUCACAAUUGGCUUCAAUGUAUAGCCUCGCCAAGCAUUACAGCAGAGAAGCUUUUGUGCAAAGUGAGCGGAGCACCAGAAGAAAUCUUAAAAGUUUGAGAAGAAAAUAUGGUAAAUAACUAAGAGAAAUCUCUGGUCAAUACUCAACAAGUCCUUCAGUCCAACAAUAUUCCAUACAUGAAAUCCUGCCAAAAACCAGACUCAGCACCAAACACACGAGAUGAAACAUAAGAUGCAUAAACACAACCCUUGCCUUUGAAGAAAAUUUGCACUAAUGGCAGAGAUGGGUGCUGUAUGAGUGAGCUGUGGCUGCCAUAGCAAGACAUCAUAGAUUGGAUGGCUUAAACAACAGAAAUUUAUUUUUUCACAGUUCUGGAGGCCAGAAAUCCCCAAUAAAGGAACUGGAUUGAAGAUAAGAUUGGAGGACCACAAUUUCACCAGUACGUUACUUAGAAUAAGCAACUAGGUCCUCACAACAAUCCCUAUUUUCCAGAUGAGAGUGUUGAGGCUCAGAGAGGUAAGCAAAUUGUUUAACUUAUUCCAGCUCUCAAG
rnacentral:lncRNA from 1 species